GUGGCAGGAGUGCCAGGAGUGGCAGCAGUGCAGUGGCAUAAAUGCGAGAGCCUGCCUCAAGUGUCUGCGACAUAUUUAUUAUCCAUGUUCUGGAACAAAAAAUGAUUAUGCCUCGAAUAUGGCAUGCCCCCGGGCGGAAGAAUUAAACUGGCAUUGUUGGGCGAGCGGAUUGGAAAGGAUUCAAGAGUCGGUGCGGCAGCGUUGGCUUUAAUUACAGUUUGAGUGGCACUGGAGUGCCUGUGAUAUGUUGGCUUUCUCGAAAACUUCUUGGCCACAAGGGAUGAUGCAUUUUUCUAAUCACAUCGCCAAACAAUUCAAAACGACAAGCUUUCAGAAAACAAUGUCUAUUGUUCCUCUGACUUCCCUUACCUAUUCAGAAAUAUUUAAAAAUUUUCAUAAAAAUGUCAAGUAUUUGUCAGAAAUGUUCGAAAUCUUUGAAGUUCUUUGGCAAAUGUGAAAAAUAAUCUUAUUGGGUGUUGGCUGAAGCUGAAGCCAGCUGUUGGACCCCGUGGAUGGUGUACUCACUCCUGGCAAAUGGAAAAAACAAAUGUUACACCGCUUGAUUUUCUUGCCGGGGGCCUUUCGCUACUUGAGCACACACACGCGAGAAGCCAUUGUCCUUAGAGAUGCGGAGCGUGCACAACAAGAAUCGCCAGACAGACGCUGGGAAAAGAAACAUGAAGAGAGAUGGUAAUAGACAGGGACUUGGACUUGAUUGCAACAAUGUUGCACUCUCAAGAUGCGCCAGGUAUUUGGCUAAGGCGAUAAUGUGACAAGGAUAACGAGGCACUCGGACCAGGGAGUCCAUCACUGGGGAAAAUGAUCUUAGGAAUUCUCUUUACGAAAUAUAAAGCUUUUAAAAGGUUUUUAAAAAGCAUUAGA